rnacentral:misc_RNA from 1 species
AACGCACCUUGCGCUCCUUGGUAUUCCGAGGAGCAUGCCUGUUUGAGUGUCAUUAAAUUCUCAACCCAUAACUUCUCUUUUGAAGCUCUGGGCUUGGACUGUGGAGGUUUUGCUGGUGAGAAUCAGCUCCUCUGAAAUGCAUUAGCGGAACCGUUUGCGAUCUGCCACAAGUGUGAUAAUUAUCUACACUGACUAGGGGGAUCGCUCUCAGGUGUUCGGCUUCUAAUCGUCUUCGGACAAAACUUUUAAUGAAUACUUGACCUCAAAUCAGGUAGGACUACCCGCUGAACUUAA